rnacentral:sRNA from 1 species
AGUUAAGGAAGGCAACCUAAGUUCGCCGCGUCCUGCGGCAACGGUUGCAUGACCAACAUCCUGUUGG